AGGCCCGAGCAGCUAAGCGCUGCGAGAGCCUAUUGAAACUGUACUGUUUAUUAUUCUUCUUCACUAUUAUUCUUCCGCCAAAUAAAAUGGCUUUUUGGGGGCUUUAUCAUAUUCAAAAACUCACCAAACUUGGCGGACGCAUCAGGUCUGCGUGAAAAUUACGUAUUUUAAGGUCCCCAGAAAAAUCGCACAAGAAACGGCUCAAGGGCGCCACCUAGCAACUUUCAAAAGACCCUUUCCUAUUCACUUACUUUAUCGUAGAGACUUGAAACUUGGUACACUUGUAGAGCUCCCCAAAACACUCAGAAUUUACAAUUAAUGUCAUAGUGCAAGUAUCACAGAUUGUCGGCCAUUUUGGAUUAAAGUUCCGAUUUUGACCCGAUUUUGGGCGUUUGCAGGGUUCGCAUUUGAUCGAACUUGUCCUAGGGAUUUCGAUCGAUCGGCUUCAAACUCGGUAAGAUCGUUCAUAAGGCAUGGCCGAUCCAAAGUUAUCGUAGGUUUGCGUUUUCGGGCUUGCUGAAGGGGUCUUUCCGGGGGUCAAAGGUCACCGAUUCGCCAUGAAACAUCAAACUGUUAUAACUCUUUGA